rnacentral:piRNA from 1 species
UGAGCAAAUAAAAGGUUGAAAAUGUUGC